rnacentral:rRNA from 1 species
GGAAUAUUGCACAAUGGGGGAAACCCUGAUGCAGCGACGCCGCGUGAGUGAAGAAGUAUUUCGGUAUGUAAAGCUCUAUCAGCAGGGAAGAAAAUGACGGUACCUGACUAAGAAGCCCCGGCUAACUACGUGCCAGCAGCCGCGGUAAUACGUAGGGGGCAAGCGUUAUCCGGAUUUACUGGGUGUAAAGGGAGCGUAGACGGUUUUUUAAGUCUGAUGUGAAAGCUGGGGGCUCAACCCCCAAACUGCAUUGGAAACUGGGGAACUAGAGUGUCGGAGAGGUAAGUGGAAUUCCUAGUGUAGCGGUGAAAUGCGUAGAUAUUAGGAGGAACACCGGUGGCGAAGGCGGCUUACUGGACGAUGACUGACGUUGAGGCUCGAAAGCGUGGGGAGCAAACA